rnacentral:rRNA from 1 species
GACGAACGCUGGCGGCGUGCUUAACACAUGCAAGUCGAACGGAAAGGCCCUGCUUUUGUGGGGUGCUCGAGUGGCGAACGGGUGAGUAACACGUGAGUAACCUGCCCUUUACUUUGGGAUAACUUCAGGAAACUGGGGCUAAUACCGGAUAGGAGCUCCUGCUGCAUGGUGGGGGUUGGAAAGUUUCGGCGGUUGGGGAUGGACUCGCGGCUUAUCAGCUUGUUGGUGGGGUAGUGUCUUACCAAGGCUUUGACGGGUAGCCGGCCUGAGAGGGUGACCGGCCACAUUGGGACUGAGAUACGGCCCAGACUCCUACGGGAGGCAGCAGUGGGGAAUAUUGCACAAUGGGCGGAAGCCUGAUGCAGCAACGCCGCGUGCGGGAUGACGGCAUUCGGGUUGUAAACCGCUUUCGCCUGUGACGAAGCGUGAGUGACGGUAAUGGGUAAAGAAGCACCGGCUAACUACGUG